GGACAGGUAGCUCAGUGGUAGAGCAACCGGCUGCAGCGACGCCUCCGGUAGGUCACGUGUUCAACUCACGUCCGGUCCU